GCGUCAAUUUGACCUCAAAGGACACCAACACUUACUCUUUAUAAAGUGUACGUUUACGGAAAAUGUGAUACAUUCAAUAAUUCAUACGUUUUCCAUUAGGAACAGGCAUUAUAGCUAGUAAGAUAGCAGACAUACUGUUAUGUGUUCUUCUUAGCAGCAAGUAGUAACGUCAGCUAGCUAAGCUAAUCAAAUGGCAAUGGGAUGGGCAGUGGUGUUGAGGGGUUUCUUGCCUCUGUGUUUACGUCGACUUGCCCGCUUGGCCGCCAACAAUUACAUGGGCGCAAGGAUUCGUCCAGUCUGCACAGACCUAACGGUGUCAUGUCGCUACCCUCUUUGGACAACCCAUCCUGUAAGAACACUACAUCUGUGCUCUAACUUGUGUGCUGGUCAUAAUAAGUGGUCUAAGGUGAAAAAUAUAAAAGGACCCAAAGAUGCAGCCCGGAGUCGAAUGUUCAUGAAGUUUGGGAUGAUGAUAAGAAUUGCAGUCAAAGAAGGAGGAUCUAGUAAUCCAGAAUUCAAUCUAGCAUUGGCAAAUGUAGUGGAGCAAUGCCGAGGCAAGAACAUGCCCAAAGUGUCCAUAGAAGCUGCCAUCAAGGGAGCGAUACCUUAAAAAAGUAGGGGCAUGGACAGAAAACCAGUCCGUAUCUGGUGUGACCACCAUUUGCCUCAAGCAGCGAUAUUUCCUUCGCAUCGAGUUGAUCAGGCUGUUGAUUGUGGCCAGUGGAAUGUUGUCCCACUCCUCUUCAAUGGCUGUGCGAAGUUGCUGGAUAUUGGCGGGAACUACCCCACCUCCACCAUGGGGGACUCUAUUCACAUCAGCAAAACCUCCAAACCACACGACAACAUACACACUGAUGUCAUUGAAACCGGGAUUCAUCCAUGAAGAGCGCACUUCUCCAACGUGCCAGUGGCCAUCAAAGGUGAGCAUUUGCCCACUGAAGAUGGUUAAGACGCUGAACUGCAGUCAGGUCAAGACCCUGGUGUGUCUAAAGAUUUCUUACAGUUUGUGCAGAAAUUCUUCAGUUGUGCAAAUCCACAGUUUCAUUAGCUGUCCGGGUGGCUGGUCUCAGACGAUCCCACAGGUGAUGAAGCUGGAUGUGGAGGUCCUGGGCUGGCAUGGUUACACGUGGUCUGCGGUUGAGGCCUGUUGGACAUACUGCCAAAUUCUCUAAAUUGACGUUGGAGGCGGCUUAUGGUAGAGAAAUAAACAUUAAAUUUUCUUGCAACAGCUCUUGUGAACAUUCCUGCAGUCAGCAUGCCAAUUGCAUGCUCCCUCAACUUGAGACAUCUGUGGCAUUGUGUUGUGUGACAAAACUGCACAUUUUUAGAGAGGCCUUUUAUUGUCCCCAGCACAAUGUCCACCUGUGUAACGAUCACUUCUUGAUAUGCCACACCUGUCAGGUGGAUGAAUUAUCAAUAAAACUAUUUAAUUCCUGUGUUAACUGCUCAGAAAUCUGGAAGGACAUGGCUACAAUGUCACUGCAUGAAUGUGAAGUUAUCAAACACGCCUUAUCUGAUACUGUUUGUUUCAGCACUGUUGAUAUGGUAAAUCAUCAACACUUAAUUUCAGCCUUUCUUGGAACAAAUAUGACGGGGAAAACUUUCUGAACAAAAUGCAUUUGAUAGGUGUUAAAGAUCAACAAAUGUCCGUUUGGUUUUAUUGUUUUCCAUGAUAAACAUUACAUCAGGAAGGAAAAGGCGCAACUCUCGCUCGCAAUUAAAAAUGUGGUACUUUAUUUUUCUAAAUAUGACAAAUUGUGACAUCUUGGCAGUCAAUAGCCUUCAUCAGACUCAUGAUAAAUGUUGCAAGUCUUUGUGCUCAUACACUAUAGAACAUAAAACCCAUCUAUAAUGUU